GCGAAUGGAUUAAGAGCUUGCUCUUAUGAAGUUAGCGGCGGACGGGUGAGUAACACGUGGGUAACCUGCCCAUAAGACUGGGAUAACUCCGGGAAACCGGGGCUAAUACCGGAUAACAUUUUGAACCGCAUGGUUCGAAAUUGAAAGGCGGCUUCGGCUGUCACUUAUGGAUGGACCCGCGUCGCAUUAGCUAGUUGGUGAGGUAACGGCUCACCAAGGCAACGAUGCGUAGCCGACCUGAGAGGGUGAUCGGCCACACUGGGACUGAGACACGGCCCAGACUCCUACGGGAGGCAGCAGUAGGGAAUCUUCCGCAAUGGACGAAAGUCUGACGGAGCAACGCCGCGUGAGUGAUGAAGGCUUUCGGGUCGUAAAACUCUGUUGUUAGGGAAGAACAAGUGCUAGUUGAAUAAGCUGGCACCUUGACGGUACCUAACCAGAAAGCCACGGCUAACUACGUGCCAGCAGCCGCGGUAAUACGUAGGUGGCAAGCGUUAUCCGGAAUUAUUGGGCGUAAAGCGCGCGCACGUGGUUUCUUAAGUCUGAUGUGAAAGCCCACGGCUCAACCGUGGAGGGUCAUUGGAAACUGGGAGACUUGAGUGCAGAAGAGGAAAGUGGAAUUCCAUGUG
rnacentral:rRNA from 1 species